rnacentral:rRNA from 1 species
GACGAACCGUGCGAACGUUGUUCGGAAUCACUGGGCUUAAAGGGCGCGUAGGCGGCUCGCCAGGUCGGGGGGUGAAAUCCCACAGCUCAACUGUGGAAGUGCCUUCGAUACCGGCGGGCUCGAGGAAGGUAGGGGUGCGCGGAACUUCUGGUGGAGCGGUGAAAUGCGUUGAUAUCAGAAGGAACGCCGGCGGCGAAAGCGGCGCACUGGACCUUUUCUGACGCUGAGGCGCGAAAGCCAGGGGAGCAAACGGG